UACGUAGGGUGCAAGCGUUAAUCGGAAUUACUGGGCGUAAAGCGUGCGCAGGCGGUUUUGUAAGUCUGACGUGAAAUCCCCGGGCUUAACCUGGGAAUUGCGUUGGAGACUGCAAGGCUAGAAUCUGGCAGAGGGGGUAGAAUUCCACGUGUGAGCAGUGAAAUGCGUAGAGAUGUGGAGGAACACCGAUGGCGAAGGCAGCCCCUGGGUCAAGAUUGACGCUCAUGCACGAAAGGCGUGGGAGCAACAGG
rnacentral:rRNA from 1 species